rnacentral:rRNA from 1 species
GACGAACGCUGGCGGCGUGCUUAACACAUGCAAGUCGAACGGUGAAGCGCCUUCCUUUUUGGUGGGUGUGGAUGAGUGGCGAACGGGUGAGUAACACGUGAGUAACCUGCCCCCUUCUUCUGGAUAACCGCAUGAAAGUGUGGCUAAUACGGGAUAUUCUGGGUCUGUCGCAUGAUGGGUCUGGGUAAGAUAUUGUUUCGGUGGGGGAUGGGCUGGCGGCGUAUCAGCUUGUUGGUGUGGUGAUGGCCUACGAAGGCGGUGACGGGUCGCCGGCCUGGGAGGGUGGACGGCCAGAGUGGGAGUGAGGCACGGCCCAGACUGCUACGGGAGGCAGCAGUGGGGAGUAGUGCACAGUGGGGGAUAGCGUGAUGCGGCGGCGCCGCGUGAGGGAUGGCGGCCUUCGGGUUGUGAACCUCUUUCGCCAGUGAAGCAGGCCUGCCUCGUUUGUGGCUGGGUUGACGGUAGCUGGAUAAGAAGCGCCGGCUAACUACGUG